AUUGAACGCUGGCGGCAGGCCUAACACAUGCAAGUCGAGCGGAUGAAGGGAGCUUGCUCCUGGAUUCAGCGGCGGACGGGUGAGUAAUGCCUAGGAAUCUGCCUGGUAGUGGGGGAUAACGUCCGGAAACGGGCGCUAAUACCGCAUACGUCCUGAGGGAGAAAGUGGGGGAUCUUCGGACCUCACGCUAUCAGAUGAGCCUAGGUCGGAUUAGCUAGUUGGUGGGGUAAAGGCCUACCAAGGCGACGAUCCGUAACUGGUCUGAGAGGAUGAUCAGUCACACUGGAACUGAGACACGGUCCAGACUCCUACGGGAGGCAGCAGUGGGGAAUAUUGGACAAUGGGCGAAAGCCUGAUCCAGCCAUGCCGCGUGUGUGAAGAAGGUCUUCGGAUUGUAAAGCACUUUAAGUUGGGAGGAAGGGCAGUAAGUUAAUACCUUGCUGUUUUGACGUUACCAACAGAAUAAGAACCGGCUAACUUCGUG
rnacentral:rRNA from 1 species